CAGUAGCCGCGGGAAUACGAAGGGGGCUAGCGUUGUUCGGAAUUACUGGGCGUAAAGCGCACGUAGGCGGCUUUGUAAGUCAGAGGUGAAAGCCCGGGGCUCAACCCCAGAAUUGCCUUUAAGACUGCAUCGCUUGAAUCCGGGAGAGGUGAGUGGAAUUCCGAGUGUAGAGGUGAAAUUCGUAGAUAUUCGGAAGAACACCAGUGGCGAAGGCGGCUCACUGGACCGGCAUUGACGCUGAGGUGCGAAAGCGUGGGGAGCAAACAGGAUUAGAUACCCCUGUAGUCCCUGUCUCUUAUAC
rnacentral:rRNA from 1 species